AGGAGAGGAAGGGGGAAUACUUGGGAAAGACUGUCCAGGUAUUUUGGAUCACGUGAUGCGGACUUGAUUUUGUUUCAUCUGUCUGGGGGAUAUUGAAUCUAUGCCUUUUAUCGAAGUUUUGGGUCAAUUCUCCUAUCGUGUUGGUGCAUGUUAGUCUUGUUCCAGUUCUUAAUGUCGUUGGUGAGCAGAAAACAAAGCCGACUCAGCAUAGUGUACGUGGUUUAAGGGGACUUGGCUCACCCCAAAUAUUUUAGCUUGCCGCAGUACAAAGGAAUUGGAGGAUAAUGUGAAGGAGAAACUCUCCCAGUUCUGCCAUGUGCCGGAGUAGCGGUAGAAGGUCCACUUGACGGCAGGGGAGGACCUCGAGGC